UACGAAGGUGGCAAGCGUUGUUCGGAUUUACUGGGCGUACAGGGAGCGUAGGCGGUUGGAUAAGCCCUCCGUGAAAUCUCCAGGCUUAAACCUGGAAAGUGCAGAGGGGACUGUUCAGCUAGAGGAUGGGGAGAGGAGCGCGGAAUUCCCGGUGUAGCGGUGAAAUGCGUAGAGAUCGGGAGGAAGGCCGGUGGCGAAGGCAGCCCC
rnacentral:rRNA from 1 species